ACGGGUGAGUAACACGUAGGUGAUCUACCCCAGAGACGGGGAUAACGGGUGGAAACAUCCGCUAAUACCGGAUAGGCUUGUUCGGUCAAAGGGACAAGGAAAGGCUCCGGCGCUCUGGGAGGAGCCUGCGGCCCAUCAGCUAGUUGGCGGGGUAACGGCCCACCGAGGCAGAGACGGGUAGGGGGUGUGAGAGCAUGGCCCCCCACAAUGGGACUGGAACACGGCCCAUACUCCUACGGGAGGCAGCAGCAGGGAAUAUUGCACAAUGGACGGAAGUCUGAUGCAGCGACGCCGCGUGGAUGAAGAAGGCCCUCGGGUUGUAAAAUCCUUUACAGGGGGAAGAGGAAGGACGGUACCCCUGGAACAAGUGUCGGCUAACUACGUGCCAGCAGCCGCGGUAAGACGUAGGGCACAAGCGUUAUCCGGAUUUACUGGGCGUAAAGCGUCUGCAGGCGGACAGGUAAGUUGGGCGUGAAAGCUCCGGGCCCAACCCGGAGAGGUCGUUCAAUACUGCGUGUCUAGAGGGUGUCAGAGGGGAGUGGAAUUUCCGGAGUAGCGGUAAAAUGCGCAGAGAUCGGAAAGAACACCAAUGGCGAAGGCAGCUCCCUGGGGCAACCCUGACGCUAAGAGACGAAAGCUAGGGGAGCGAACAGGAUUAGAGACCCUGGUAGUCCUAGCCCUAAACGAUGGAUGCUGGAUGUGGGGCCAUAGCGCUCCGUGUCGAAGCGAACGCGUUAAGCAUCCCGCCUGGGGAGUACGGCCGCAAGGUUAAAACUCAAAUGAAUUGACGGGACGCCGCACAAGCAGCGGAGCGUGUGGUUUAAUUCGAUGUUACACGAAGAACCUUACCUGGGUUUGACAUCUAGGUGGUAGUGAAGCGAAAGCGGAGCGACCCUUCGGGGAGCCUAGACAGGUGCUGCAUGGCUGUCGUCAGCUCGUGCCGUGAGGUGUCGGGUUAAGUCCCGUAACGAGCGCAACCCUUGCCCUCCGUUAUACGUGUCAGAGGGGACUGCCGGCGGUAAGCCGGAGGAAGGUGGGGAUGACGUCAAGUCAGCAUGGCCUUUAUAUCCAGGGCUACACACACGCUACAAUGGCCAGUACAAAGGGCAGCGAAGCCGCGAGGUGGAGCGAAUCCCAGCAAAGCUGGUCGUAGUUCGGAUUGCAGGCU
rnacentral:rRNA from 1 species